rnacentral:lncRNA from 1 species
AUCGAGGUCGGGGGGUGUUGGUAGUAGCAGGGGUGGCGAUGGAGUGAUUGAUGUUGAUGAGGAUGAGAGUGAAGAAGAUGGAGUUGUUGGCCUCGAAAACGGGGAUGUCGAAGAUGAUGAUGAUUUAGAGGACGUUGAUGUUGAGGAGAGUGGUGACGAUGAGGUUGUGGAGGUUCAUGAGAUUGAUGAUAGUGACGAGGAAGAAGGGGUCGAAGAGGAUGAUGAUGAGGAGGAUGAUGAUGGUGAUGAAGAAGUGGAAGAUGAAGAGGAGGAUGUGAGGCCCGGGAUUGAAGGCCGGGGAAUCGGUAAUGGUG